rnacentral:lncRNA from 7 species
GGCUCUUUUGAGUUCCAGCGUUGCUGUGCCUGCAUCCCAUCCUGCCUUCUGGAUGGACUGUAGAUCUCUGCUCCAGAGAAACAUUCAACUUUCCAAUCAGGAAUGGCAAUCUGUCAAGAAAGUGUUUACCUUACGUGCUGCUCGCCCAUGGAACGCCUCGGUGCAGGGCAGCUGCUUUGUGCAAAUGCACCUUGAGUGUUUGGGAGUAUAGGGACUUUUCUACAGCCACAGAAAACAGAUGGGAGGGAUCCCGAGAGGCAUUUCAAUUCAUUGACCUUCCUCAAGACAAUGGCAACUCAACUGAAAGCAGACUUUGCCAGGACUGCUCUUAGAAUCCCCCAGUGAUGGAGAUUUCACAAACUUUCCAUCCUUCUGUUCCAGAAUCUCAUUUUUCUUACUUUGUUGAUAAUAUCUGGAUUAUGCUUCCCAUUCCUCACACCUCUUGGCUAAUCAGUCACCAAAGAAACGUUCUUAAGAACGUUUUCUCUCUGUUGUGUGAAUCUGCAUCAUAAUUAGAAAAUAAUAUAUCAGUGUCAUUUUGGAUCUGUAUGCUGAUUCAGGGACUGGCUUAAUAUGCUUUGGGCACAUCAGCAUCUUGCAUUUCUUGAUGUGCAGAUGAACAUGCUGCUGCAAUGUAAUACUGCUCACAGUGUAGACUCCAGCUAGUGAAGGGGCCAUUGUGGUGAGGUGCUAAGGAUUUCCUUGACAGUUGUGGAAGUUUAUUCUUUCUUAAAGAAAUGCUCUGCAAAAAUCUCAAAUAGACUAGGAACUACCAUGCUUGAUGAUACCCAGGAGGAAACAUUCUUCUAGGGCAGAUCGGUGUAAGGUCAGGAGUAAGAAAAUGCAGCAUAGGAUGGAAUUUAUUCUAUUUUGUCCUAAGCUUUACAAAAAUAUAACAAUUUUUAGCUCUCUAAGUUCAUGCCACAGCCUGCAGUGAAGGGCCAGCUCCUGCGGAGGAUGAGUUUAUCCCUCCUAAAAUGGGUGUUUAAGUUAGGUGGUAAUGGGAGGAAAAUGAAAGCAUGUUAAUCUAUUUUUCUUUUUCUAUUAUAAUGUACUUUUGAACUUCAUAAGGUUUCCCAUUCACUAAUUUCAGUUUAGCUAAACAGUCAAAAGCUAUCAGUAAUCUAAAGCUGCUGGAGAUAUUUAUAAUUUAUGGAACAGGACUUGCUUAAGAAAUUAACAAAUAAAUCCCCCUACCAAACACUUCUGAGGAUACUGAAGUCUUGCUCAUGACCAUUUGCUAAGAGAAAAAGCCGCAGUCACCAAGUAAAUCUCUUGUGCCUCAUUUAGGCUUCUAUUAUAUGUAGCUAGCCCUUGAAAAUAAGCUGCUUUCUUCCAUCCCCUGAAGACCUGUGGUCAUGGAACAUUUAUCCAUUUUUCUACAUGAUUUCAAAAUGUAUUAUUUACUUUGAUGAACACUCAACAUGAGUACCAUGUUUAUGGAAUUACCUAUACCAAAGUAGAGAUGUAAUAAAGCUAUUAAUCUUCUCAUCUG